UACGUAGGUCCCGAGCGUUGUCCGGAUUUAUUGGGCGUAAAGCGAGCGCAGGUGGUUUAUUAAGUCUGGUGUAAAAGGCAGUGGCUCAACCAUUGUAUGCAUUGGAAACUGGUAGACUUGAGUGCAGGAGAGGAGAGUGGAAUUCCAUGUGUAGCGGUGAAAUGCGUAGAUAUAUGGAGGAACACCGGUGGCGAAAGCGGCUCUCUGGCCUGUAACUGACACUGAGGCUCGAAAGCGUGGGGAGCAAACUGG
rnacentral:rRNA from 1 species